rnacentral:rRNA from 1 species
UUGAAGCAGCCAUCAUUUAAAAAGUGCGUAAUAGCUUACCGGUCGAGGAAGCCUGCGCCGAUAAUGAACGGGACUAAGCGAAAUACCGAAGCGGCGGGCUGUAGCAAUACAGCGGUAGGAGAGCGUAGUGCGUUAGAGCGAAGGGGGACGGUAACGGCCCCUGGACGAGGCACUAGUGAUCAUGCCGGAACGAGUAACGAUAAACAGGGUGAGAAUCCCUGUCGCCGAAAGCCUAAGGUUUCCUGGGGAAGGUAAAUCCGCCCAGGGUUAGUCGGACCCUAAGACGAGGCCGAAAGGCGUAGUCGAUGGACGGCGGGUUAAUAUUCCUGCACCGGUCUCAUGGACAAAGCGUGUGACACUUCCUGGAAGGUGGGCGCCCCGCUAGACGAGGGCGUCCCGCAAGGGCGAGGGCAUCUACGAUCCCGAAGCCAUCGGAAAGGGAGACGAGAAAAACCACGCUGCGGUUGAAGUGAGCCGCCCGUACUAAAACUGACACAGGUAGGCGAGAUGAAUAUUCUCAGGCGCUCGAGAGAACGCUGGUGAAGGAACUCGGCAACAUAACCCCGUAACUUCGGGAAAAGGGGUGCCCCUGGAGGUGUUAAAGCAUCUGGGGGCCGCAGAGAAAUGGAUCUGGCGACUGUUUACUAAAAACACAGGUCUGUGCGAACGCGUAAGCGGAGGUAUACAGACUGACGCCUGCCCGGUGCCGGUAAGUUAAGGAAGGGGGUUAACUCGUAAGAGCGAAGCCCGCGACCGAAGCUCCGGUAAACGGCGGCCGUAACUAUGACGGUCCUAAGGUAGCGAAGUUCCUUGUCGGGUAAGUUCCGACCUGCAUGAAUGGCGUAACGACCGGAUCACUGUCUCCACCAGCGACUCGGUGAAACUGUAGUUGUUGUGAAGAUGCAACAUACCCGCAACUAGACGGAAAGACCCCGUGAACCUUUACUGCAGCUUAGUAUUGGGUUUAGGCCCAGCAUGCGUAGCGUAGGUGGGAGGCAUAAACCAGGCGUCCCGGCGCCCGGGGAGCCGACCAAUGAAACACCACCCUUGUUGUGCUUGAAUUCUAACCCCGACCCGUGAAUCCGGGCGGCGGACAGUGCUAAGUGGGCAGUUUGACUGGGGCGGUCUCCUCCUAAAGUGUAACGGAGGAGUUCAAAGGUACCCUCAACCCGGUCGGCAAUCGGGUUUCGAGCGUAAAGGUAGAAGGGUGCUUGACUGCGAGUCCCAUCAGACGAGCAGGUACGAAAGUAGGACUUAGUGAUCCGGCGGUGCCGGAUGGAAGGGCCGUCGCUCAACAGAUAAAAGGUACUCCGGGGAUAACAGGCUUAUCUCCCCUGAGCGUUCACAGCGGCGGGGAGGUUUGGCACCUCGAUGUCGGCCCAUCGCAUCC